GGUUUCUGGUCCGUUUUCUUCAGAAGUCACCGACGAGCAAAAACCGGGGACAUUGUCCAUCGCGGAGUUAGCAAAAAGCUAACUUCUCCAAGUAAUCAAACACAGCGCCGACGAGGGACCUCUGAUAUAGAAAUAGACCGACUAGAAAGACUGAGACCCGGGUUUACUCAGCCCAGGGUUCUCCACGUCAUCGCUGGCAUCGAGGUUUUGUUCAGCAAUAUCUUCAGAUGUCAACGCUGUCAUCUCACUGUCCACAUCUGACCGUGCGAGAUCUUCUGUCAACGUAUCCAUUGUUGCAAUAUCUUGAUGAAUUUGCUUUAGCCUCUCACCACAACUCAGCGCUGUGCUCUGUUGAUCACAUUCAAAGCAAGCGUGCUUGAGUUGAGUUUUCAUGCUCAGCGUAAUCUUGAAAUAGAAAACUGGUCCUCCAGUGUUUCAUGUGAAGCAUUUGCAACAUGUAGGGAAAUUAAUUUGUCAUCUGUUCACACGGGCUGAACCCUUGCAUUUGGCAUAUACAAUAAAUAAGUUAAUCGGGGUUGAUUAGUUGUAGCCUGUGAUGAAUUUAAACUGUAAAAAAAUGCAGCAGCAUGGAGUAAAUGCAUCUGCUUUAUUUUUCUUGCCAGGUCUAAAUAUAAUGUUUUGUUGGCAGCCUAUAUCCGAUGUCAUGAGUCUGUCACAGGCAGAAAAGUACUUUGAAAGGGUUUAGUUUGGUUUUUAGUUGUGCACAGCUGAUAAGGGAUAAAACAAAUCCCAUAUUCAGCUUUAACAGUUGACAGUGAACUGGUGAGGAAAACAAAACAAAUAAUAAUAAUAAUAACACGUAUUUAUGGGCUAAUAUGCUAAUUUAAUCUUCAAAAAUUCAGCAUAUUGUAUUUAGAAAUCAGCUCUUCUUGACUGGACUUCUACGAAAAUGUCAACCUCGCACCUGUUUAUGUCUGUCUUGUAGUGUAACAGAGAUACUACAUGGGAAAUAAAAGACUGGAGGAGUUGGGGAGGGUUUUGCUUAUAGUCAACAGGUUGUGUCUGGGCAAACGUUGCCCUCGUGUGUGAACUAGUCCGGCGUACCUUCUGUAAAUCAUAAACUUACCCAAUGGACAUGACAAAUAAAAAUGUACUGGUAUUAAAUAUGCACUUUCUUCUUAA